AUCGGGCGGAGCCGGGCACUCUGAGGGACUGCCGGCGACAAGCCGGAGGAAGGUGGGGAGUGACGUCAAGUCAUCAUGGCCCUUAUGUCCAGGGCGGACACACGUGCUACAAUGGCCGGCACAGCGGGAAGCGGAGGGGCGACCCUGAGCGGAUCCCUUGAAAGCCGGUCCCAGUUCGGAUUGCAGUCUGCAACUCGACUGCAUGAAGUUGGAAUCGCUAGUAAUCGCGGAUCAGCCAAGCCGCGGUGAAUACGUUCCCGGGCCUU
rnacentral:rRNA from 1 species